GACGAACGCUGGCGGCGUGCUUAACACAUGCAAGUCGAGCGGUAAGGCCCUUUCGGGGGUACACGAGCGGCGAACGGGUGAGUAACACGUGGGUGACCUGCCCUUAGCUCUGGGAUAAGCCUGGGAAACUGGGUCUAAUACCGGAUAUGACUCCAUGACGCAUGUUGUGGGGUGGAAAGCCUUGUGCGGCUAGGGAUGGGCCCGCGGCCUAUCAGCUUGUUGGUGGGGUGAUGGCCACCAAGGCGACGACGGGUAGCCGGCCUGAGAGGGCGACCGGCCACACUGGGACUGAGACACGGCCCAGACUCCUACGGGAGGCAGCAGUGGGGAAUAUUGCGCAAUGGGCGAAAGCCUGACGCAGCGACGCCGCGUGAGGGAUGAAGGCCUCGGUCGUAACC
rnacentral:rRNA from 1 species